UGUCUGUGUUAGUUGUUCAGCACUAGAGAAGACUUCAAGCUGUACAAGGACAGCAUGUCAAUAGUCAUGUCUAGAGCAGACAAUCCAGUGACUGGUAUUGUGAGUGAUAAUCCACACUAUCACCUUAUGAUGAUAGACUUAUCAACCAAAUCUAAGCCAAACCACUCUAUCUAGUAUAUUGCCUCUAGCAUCUGCCCCUUGAGGCUGGCUUCCUGUUCUGACCAGAUCUAUCAACAGUCCAAGGUUGCUAGGUACCUGUUCUGAUCAGAUAUCCCAUCAGUCCAAGGCUUCUAGGUACCUGUUCUGACCAGAUAUCCCAACAGUCCACGGCUGCUAGGUACCUGUUCUGACCAGAUAUCCCAACAGCUGCUAGGUACCUGUUCUGACCAGAUAUCCCAACAGUCCAAGGUUGCUAGGUAAGUAUUCUGACCAGAUAUCCCAACAGUUGCUAGGUACGUAUUCUGACCAGAUAUCC